rnacentral:rRNA from 1 species
CGGCGGACGGGUGAGUAACACGUGGGUAACCUACCUAUAAGACUGGGACAACUUCGGGAAACCGGAGCUAAUACCGGAUAAGAUAUCGAACCGCAUGGUUCGAUAGUGAAAGAUGGUUUUGCUAUCACUUAUAGAUGGACCCGCGCCGUAUUAGCUAGUUGGUGAGGUAACGGCUCACCAAGGCAACGAUACGUAGCCGACCUGAGAGGGUGAUCGGCCACACUGGAACUGAGACACGGUCCAGACUCCUACGGGAGGCAGCAGCG